rnacentral:rRNA from 1 species
CCUACGGGAGGCAGCAGUGGGGGAUAUUGCACAAUGGGGGAAACCCUGAUGCAGCGACGCCGCGUGUGGGAAGACGGUUCUCUGGUUUGUAAACCACUUUCCCCAGGGAGGAAGAUGACGGUACCUGCGGAGGAAGCUCCGGCUAACUACGUACAAGAGGCCGCGGUAAUACGUAGGGAGCGAGCGUUGUCCGGAAUUACUGGGGGUAAAGGGAGCGUAGGGGGGACUGAAAGUUGGGGGUAAAAUCUACCGGCUCAACCGAUAGCCGCACUCAAAACUGCAGUUCUUGAGUGAAGUAGAGGCAGGCGGAAUUCCUGGUGUAGCGGUGAAAUGCGUAGAUAUUAGGAGGAACACUAGUGGCGAAGGCGGCCUGCUGGGCUUUUACUGACGCUGAGGCUCGAAAGUGUGGGGAGCAAACAGGAUUAGAUACCCCAGUAGUC